AUCAGCCUGGAUGGAUCACCCUGGAUGGAUCCUCCUGCUCCAGCCCAGAGCCAGGUGACGAUGGAUCAGCCUGGAUGGAUCAGCCUGGAUGGAUCCUCCCCCAAGCCCUGCCCUUGCUGCUGGCCCAGGUAGAAGAAUCCUGAAAAGCUGCACUUUGGUGGAGAUCAUUGAGCUGUGGUGAACCCUGGAGCCAGGAGGUUAUAACACCCAUCCUGCAGGUGAUGUCCACCACCCCAGCAGAUCUAACUUAGAGACUGGGAACAGAGCACUGGUGGAGCUCCUUCCUGCUGCUCCAGCAGAGACAGCAACUGCCCCCUCAGGGUGCUGGCUCCAGGCUGGGCAAGGGCUAUCCCACAGAUGCACUUCCCUCAUGGAUGGAAUUCCCAUGGCUGAUGAUGCUGGCACUGGGGCCAAAGUCCCUGCACUUUUACUUGACACCAAAAAUAUGCCCUUGAAAAGAACGACACUGUCCCUGCACAGCUGCUGCUCCAUCCUGCUCAGAAUCCCCUCCUGAAGAUCCUGACAUCCUGACUCACCUUCUGUGAGAUUCCCUCUUGAUCUACGUGCAGAAAUCCUGGAUUUGGGGGCCACCCACUCUACAUCCUGUCUGUGACCACCCCGUGGGCUGUUUGCUGGGCUCCCAGCAGAGCUGAGCUGCUGGUGCAAGUGAAAGCAAAGUCAGCAGAAAUGCACCUUUUGCAAAGUACAGCUGCAAACCUGCAGACCAUGAAGUCAAAUUUAAAGCCUUCAGCCCAUGAAGUUAAGUUUAAAACCUUCAGCCCAUGAAGUCAAGUUUUAAUCCAGACUACCACCUGAAUUAGGAAUGAAAACCACCUCAGGAUUCUCAUUAGCAAAAGCAAGUCCAAGCAAUCCUGCUAUUUUUGUCAUCUCAUGUCCCCACACUAUUAUCAAUUUCCUCCUGUUGCUGCUCACUCAAAGAGCCUCAGAUGGCACAAAGAUGGGCAGCACAUGGAGUUUAUUUUAUGGCAAUAUAAAUCCCCUUUGGAAAAAACAGAUUUGCGUUUUACCCUUACUGUCAAGUAUGACUUUAAAAUAAAAUAUAUUCCCAGAGGAAUCAGGCAAGAGACAGAAAUUAUCCCUGCUAAUGACACUGGAGAACAGUUGGAGCGCCGCUAAUUGCCCACGCCUGACAUUUGUUUUUGCAGGCGCAGCAGCCGCUGUUUGAACUCCUCCAUGUGUUCACCCAGAGCAUUGGCACACAAGGAGAGCAGCGGCUGCUGCUGCUGCUGCUGCAGGGCUCCAAGUGCCACAAAUCUCCUCCUGGCAAGAGCCACCCUCUAAGGAAAAGCCCGAGGAAAGAAAGGGACGUUUGUGCAGGAGGCAGCAUGGUUCUAGAUCCCAAGGAGAGGGUUCAAAGCAGCCUUACCUUGGCAAGCAGAGCUGUGCUCAGCGCAGCCGAGUGCUCAGGAGGAAGUGAAAUGUCCCCUGCACCACUGUUUACACCAGCAAGGGGACCUGUGUGACAUCACGACGAGCCACAAAAGGUGCUGCUUGUGCUGGUGCUCAGCUGUGGCUCCAGCCCUGCUCCCAGCC